rnacentral:rRNA from 1 species
AUUGAACGCUGGCGGCAUGCCUUACACAUGCAAGUCGAACGGCAGCACGGGUGCUUGCACCUGGUGGCGAGUGGCGAACGGGUGAGUAAUACAUCGGAACGUACCUUAUCGUGGGGGAUAACGCAGCGAAAGUUGCGCUAAUACCGCAUACGCCCUGAGGGGGAAAGCGGGGGACCGUACGGCCUCGCGCGAUUAGGGCGGCCGAUGUCUGCUUAGCUUGUUGGUGAGGUAAAAGCUCACCAAGGCGAUGAUCAGUAGCUGGUCUGAGAGGACGAUCAGCCACACUGGGACUGAGACACGGCCCAGACUCCUACGGGAGGCAGCAGUGGGGAAUUUUGGACAAUGGGGGCAACCCUGAUCCAGCAAUGCCGCGUGAGUGAAGAAGGCCUUCGGGUUGUAAAGCUCUUUUGUCAGGGAAGAAACAGCAGCUCUAACACAGUCUGCGAAUGACGGUACCUGAAGAAUAAGCACCGGCUAACUACGUGCCAGCAGCCGCGGUAA